UACGUAGGGGGCGAGCGUUGUCCGGAAUUAUUGGGCGUAAAGAGCGUGUAGGCGGUUCGGUAAGUCUGCUGUGAAAUCCUGGGGCUCAACCCCGGGCGUGCAGCGGAUACUGCCGGGCUAGAGGGUGGUAGAGGCGAGUGGAAUUCCCGGUGUAGCGGUGAAAUGCGCAGAUAUCGGGAGGAACACCAGUAGCGAAGGCGGCUCGCUGGGC
rnacentral:rRNA from 1 species